ensembl:lncRNA
GACAUAUUGCAGCGGUGAACCUCCCUGACAAAGAGGAAGAUUUAAUUGAACACAGUCCAGAUGGGAGCUGUCAUAGAGAGGUAUGGGAAGAGAGGAGUACAGUAGCGCACCACACACACACACACACACACACACACACACACAGGAGCUGUCAUAGAGCGGUAUGGGAAGAGAGGAGUACAGUAACGCACAACACACACACACACACACACACAGGAGCUGUCAUAGAGAGGUAUAGGAGGAGGGGAGUAGAGUAACGCACAACACACACACACACACACACAGGAGCUGUCAUAGAGAGGUAUAGGAGAGGGGAGUAGAGUAACGCACAACACACACACACACACACACACACACACACACACACAAACAGAAGCUGUCAUGAAUAGAAGAACUACAGUAAUAUGGAACACAGACAGACACAUUAAAACGCUCCUCUGGACCAGAUGACAGG